AAAGCCUCUAAGCAUCAGGUAACAUCAAAUCGUACCCCAAACCGACACAGGUGGUCAGGUAGAGAAUACCAAGGCGCUUGAGAGAACUCGGGUGAAGGAACUAGGCAAAAUGGUGCCGUAACUUCGGGAGAAGGCACGCUGAUAUGUAGGUGAAGCGACUUGCUCGUGGAGCUGAAAUCAGUCGAAGAUACCAGCUGGCUGCAACUGUUUAUUAAAAACACAGCACUGUGCAAACACGAAAGUGGACGUAUACGGUGUGACGCCUGCCCGGUGCCGGAAGGUUAAUUGAUGGGGUUAGC
rnacentral:rRNA from 1 species